rnacentral:rRNA from 1 species
CCAGAGAUGGAUUGGUGCCUUCGGGAACGUCUGACACAGGUGCUGCAUGGCUGUCGUCAGCUCGUGUCGUGAGAUGUUGGGUUAAGUCCCGCAACGAGCGCAACCCUUGCCUUUAGUUGCCAGCAGUUCGGCUGGGCACUCUAAAGGGACUGCCGGUGUUAAACCGGAGGAAGGUGGGGAUGACGUCAAGUCCUCAUGGCCUUUAUGACCAGGGCUACACACGUACUACAAUGGCCGAUACAAAGGGCAGCGACACUGCGAGGUGAAGCCAAUCCCGUAAAAUCGGUCUCAGUCCGGAUUGGAGUCUGCAACUCGACUCCAUGAAGUUGGAAUCGCUAGUAAUCGUGGAUCAGCAUGCCACGGUGAAUACGUUCCCGGGCCUU